CCAGCACCAUAGAUGCCCAAGAAAUUGAAACUGUCUGAACUAUCUUACCUGCUUUUAUCUUAAUUUUAAUUGCCCUCCCAUCCCUAUGUAUUCUGUAUUUAACAGAUGAAGUUAAUAAUCCUUCUAAUACCAUCAAAACAAUUGGCCAUCAAUGAUAUUGAAGCUAUGAAUGUACAGACUAUAAAGAACUAGGCUUUGAUUCUUAUAUAAUCCCAAUAGCAGACUUAAAAUCAGGAGAACUUCCACUCCUCAAAGUUGAUAACCAAACAAUCCUCCCAAUAGAAAUUCCUAUCCAAAUAUUAAUUUCAUCUGAAGAUGUCCUGCACUCAUGAACUCUCCCUUCACUGGGCCUCAAAACAGACGCAAUCUGUGGACGCCUAAAUCAAUCCACCUUAACUGCUACACGACCAGGCCUUUACCACAGAU
rnacentral:lncRNA from 1 species